GACGAACGCUGGCGGCGUGCUUAACACGUGCAAGUCGAACGGAAAGGCCCUGCUUGCAGGGUACUCGAGUGGCGAACGGGUGAGUAACACGUGGGUGAUCUGCCCUGCACUUCGGGAUAAGCCUGGGAAACUGGGUCUAAUACCGGAUAGGAGCCAUUUUUAGUGUGAUGGUUGGAAAGUUUUUUCGGUGUAGGAUGAGCUCGCGGCCUAUCAGCUUGUUGGUGGGGUAAUGGCCUACCAAGGCGGCGACGGGUAGCCGGCCUGAGAGGGUGGACGGCCACAUUGGGACUGAGAUACGGCCCAGACUCCUACGGGAGGCAGCAGUGGGGAAUAUUGCACAAUGGGCGCAAGCCUGAUGCAGCGACGCCGCGUGGGGGAGGACGGCCUUCGGGUUGUAAACUCCUUUCGCUAGGGACGAAGCUUUUUGUGACGGUACCUAGAUAAGAAGCACCGGCUAACUACGUG
rnacentral:rRNA from 1 species